rnacentral:tRNA from 1 species
CAGGGAGACAAAACUGAUUAUGAUGUCUGAAUUGAUUAUUUUUAGGCCAUAAUCCUGUCACCUUAGGUCGAUCGGUACCUCAUUUAAAUCUCAAUUAAAACCUUUAAUUAGUUUUUUUCUUGGUUAUUUAAAUCAGUUCCUAAACUUUUGUCUAGGUCACACCCAGCAAUGGUUCUCCUGGGCUAUUAGCUCAGGUGGUUAGAGCGCACCCCUGAUAAGGGUGAGGUCCCUGGUUCAAGUCCGGGAUGGCCCAUUCGGUGUUGGGGGUAUAGCUCAGUUGGCAGAGCGCCUGCUUUGCAAGCAGGAAGUCAGCGGUUCGAGUCCGCUUACCUCCACUGAUCGACCUCCUUAAAGAAUUUGUAGGAGAUAGUUCUUACUUGGUUGUGAUUUAGACUGAUUUUUACUUGAAAGAACCUAGCUUCUUAUCAUUCCACUUUUUAGAUUCAAUGAAUCUAAUUGGUUGGUAGGACGCUGGGCUCACUGCAAGCUCAAAACUUGCAGGGAUGUUCAGUAGAACCUUGACAACUGCAUAGGUAAGUCUGUAAUGAAUAAAGCAUCUCAUGGAUGCGCAACUUAAAAAAAGUUGCGCUAAAUUCUUGAGCAAAGAGCUGAAUUCUGUAUCGAUACAUUCAAUGGUCGAUAUAGAUAAUUAU